rnacentral:misc_RNA from 1 species
UUUCCGUAGGUGAACCUGCGGAAGGAUCAUUACAGAGUUCAUGCCCUCACGGGUUGAUCUCCCACCCUUGAAUAUUUAUACCUUAGUUGCUUUGGCAGGCCGUGGAAACACCAUGGGCUCCGGCUUAUGCGUGCCUGCCAGAGGAAACAAACUCUGUUUUUAGUGAUGUCUGAGUACUAUAUAAUAGUUAAAACUUUCAACAACGGAUCUCUUGGUUCUG